AUACGGAGGAUCCGAGCGUUAUCCGGAUUUAUUGGGUUUAAAGGGUGCGCAGGCGGGAGAUUAAGUCGGCGGUGAAAUUUUGCAGCUCAACUGUAAAAGUGCCUUCGAAACUGGUUUCCUUGAGUGUAGAUGAAGUAGGCGGAAUUUGUGGUGUAGCGGGGAAAUGCAUAGAUAUCACGAGGAACUCCGAUUGCGCAGGCAGCUUACUAAACUACUACUGACGCUCAGCCGCGAAGGCGUGGGGAUCAAACAGGAUUAGAUACCCUGGUAGUCCACGCAGUAAACGAUGAUUACUAGCUGUUUGCGAUACAAUGUAAGCGGCUGAGCGAAAGCGUUAAGUAAUCCACCCGGGGAGUACGUUCGCAAGAAUGAAACUCAAAUGAAUUGACGGGG
rnacentral:rRNA from 1 species